CGAGCGAAGGAUUAAGAGCUUGCUCUUAUGAAGUUAGCGGCGGACGGGUGAGUAACACGUGGGUAACCUGCCCAUAAGACUGGGAUAACUCCGGGAAACCGGGGCUAAUACCGGAUAACAUUUUGAACCGCAUGGUUCGAAAUUGAAAGGCGGCUUCGGCUGUCACUUAUGGAUGGACCCGCGUCGCAUUAGCUAGUUGGUGAGGUAACGGCUCACCAAGGCAACGAUGCGUAGCCGACCUGAGAGGGUGAUCGGCCACACUGGGACUGAGACACGGCCCAGACUCCUACGGGAGGCAGCAGUAGGGAAUCUUCCGCAAUGGACGAAAGUCUGACGGAGCAACGCCGCGUGAGUGAUGAAGGCUUUCGGGUCGUAAAACUCUGUUGUUAGGGAAGAACAAGUGCUAGUUGAAUAAGCUGGCACCUUGACGGUACCUAACCAGAAAGCCACGGCUAACUACGUGCCAGCAGCCGCGGUAAUACGUAGGUGGCAAGCGUUAUCCGGAAUUAUUGGGCGUAAAGCGCGCGCAGGUGGUUUCUUAAGUCUGAUGUGAAAGCCCACGGCUCAACCGUGGAGGGUCAUUGGAAACUGGGAGACUUGAGUGCAGAAGAGGAAAGUGGAAUUCCAUGUGUAGCGGUGAAAUGCGUAGAGAUAUGGAGGAACACCAGUGGCGAAGGCGACUUUCUGGUCUGUAACUGACACUGAGGCGCGAAAGCGUGGGGAGCAAACAGGAUUA
rnacentral:rRNA from 1 species